rnacentral:rRNA from 1 species
GCAAGUCGAACGAAACACCUUAUUUGAUUUUCUUCGGAACUGAAGAUUUGGUGAUUGAGUGGCGGACGGGUGAGUAACGCGUGGGUAACCUGCCCUGUACAGGGGGAUAACAGUCAGAAAUGACUGCUAAUACCGCAUAAGACCACAGCACCGCAUGGUGCAGGGGUAAAAGCUCCGGUGGUACAGGAUGGACCCGCGUCUGAUUAGCUGGUUGGUGAGGUAACGGCUCACCAAGGCGACGAUCAGUAGCCGGCUUGAGAGAGUGAACGGCCACAUUGGGACUGAGACACGGCCCAAACUCCUACGGGAGGCAGCAGUGGGGAAUAUUGCACAAUGGGGGAAACCCUGAUGCAGCGACGCCGCGUGAGUGAAGAAGUAUUUCGGUAUGUAAAGCUCUAUCAGCAGGGAAGAAAAUGACGGUACCUGACUAAGAAGCCCCGGCUAACUACGUGCCAGCAGCCGCGGUAAUACGUAGGGGGCAAGCGUUAUCCGGAUUUACUGGGUGUAAAGGGAGCGUAGACGGCAAGGCAAGUCUGAUGUGAAAACCCAGGGCUUAACCCUGGGACUGCAUUGGAAACUGUCUGGCUCGAGUGCCGGAGAGGUAAGCGGAAUUCCUAGUGUAGCGGUGAAAUGCGUAGAUAUUAGGAAGAACACCAGUGGCGAAGGCGG